GCGAUAGCGAAGAGGUCACACCCGUUCCCAUACCGAACACGGAAGUUAAGCUCUUUAGCGCCAAUGGUAGUUGGGACUUUGUCCCUGUGAGAGUAGGACGUUGCCA
rnacentral:rRNA from 1 species